AGUGAACGCUGGCGGUAGGCCUAACACAUGCAAGUCGAACGGCAGCACAGUAAGAGCUUGCUCUUACGGGUGGCGAGUGGCGGACGGGUGAGGAAUACAUCGGAAUCUACUUUUUCGUGGGGGAUAACGUAGGGAAACUUACGCUAAUACCGCAUACGACCUCCGGGUGAAAGCAGGGGAUCUUCGGACCUUGCGCGAUUGAAUGAGCCGAUGUCGGAUUAGCUAGUUGGCGGGGUAAAGGCCCACCAAGGCGACGAUCCGUAGCUGGUCUGAGAGGAUGAUCAGCCACACUGGAACGGAGACACGGGCCAGACUCCUACGGGAGGCAGCAGUGGGGAAUAUUGGACAAUGGGCGCAAGCCUGAUCCAGCCAUACCGCGUGAGUGAAGAAGGCCUUCGGGUUGUAAAGCCCUUUUGUUGGGAAAGAAAAGCAGCAGGUUAAUACCCCGCUGUUCUGACGGUACCCAAAGAAUAAGCACCGGCUAACUUCGUG
rnacentral:rRNA from 1 species